UACGAAGGGAGCUAGCGUUGUUCGGAAUCACUGGGCGUAAAGCGCACGUAGGCGGACUUGUCAGUCAGGGGUGAAAUCCCGGGGCUCAACCUCGGAACUGCCUCUGAUACAGCAAGUCUCGAGUCCGGAAGAGGUGGGUGGAAUUCCUAGUGUAGAGGUGAAAUUCGUAGAUAUUCGGAAGAACACCAGUGGCGAAGGCGGCUCACUGGUCCGGUACUGACGCUGAGGUGCGAAAGCGUGGGGAGCAAACAGG
rnacentral:rRNA from 1 species